rnacentral:lncRNA from 1 species
AACAAAGGAGAGAGACUACAUGAAUGGUGUACAAGAUUAUUUAUUUGUGAUUGACAGUGGGUGAGCACUCAAUCUUAUGUUACGACAGAGGCAUAUUUGGCAGACUUCAAUUUAGAAGUCUUUUGAACUAAAUAAAUACUGUUUUGUUUGUUUGUUUGUUUGUUUGUUUUCCUUAAGUGUGGAGGACCAGUUUGCAUCACUUAAUUCAAUUUUAAGAGCUCUCAACACCUUGAAAAGAUUUUCAGCUUAACUAGAACACUUUUUUCCCUCUACUUUACCUCUUAACUUGCAUGUGUUGGAAAAACUGAAGAUUAUUUUCAAGAAUAUUUAUUCCAAAAAUUAGCACUGAGAAUUUCUCUUAAAAAACAAAGGCAAGGUGAAGAAUUUAAAGCCACAACUAUUGUUUCAGUUUUCAGAGGCUUCUCUGAAAGGCACCAUAGGCUGUUCCAUAUAAGAUUGUCAGUGUUGAUUCUGUUUGAUUUUGUGCCAUAUAGACUUCAGAAAAUGGCUUGGAGAGAACAACAAUAUGGCCGCUGGCUUCUUUGAACAAAUAAGAUCCCUCCUGUGGAGUUGUGCAUCAUACUACCUUUCAGGCACUUGGACAUUUGUUGUGCCAUGCGACUUAAAGCAAACACCACUGCUGGGAGAAAAGAUAGCUGAAUCACCAGGGCACUAGCCUGCUUCUGCUCUUACUGAUAUUUGUACUUGUGAACUUGAUGAAUCUACUUCUUUCCAUUCUGACUAUGAAUCAUAAGCAAUAAUUUAGUUUAUAGGCAGUGUUUUCUUGUGCCAAAUCUAAAGUUUUUACAAUGAUCUCUUCUAGCUUCAUGAUGUCAUGUAAUUAUGUUAGCAGUAGCUGAGACACACCAGUUAUUAGACUGCUAAAGGAAGAAGGAAAAAUGUUCUCCUGUAACAUAUAUCAUAAUCUUGGGAUUCUUUCAGAAUUCCAGUCAGUUCUUGCUAUAAUCAGACUAACAAGUGUAGCAGCUCUCUUCUUAAGUAUUAUUUAAUUUUAAACUGCAGUCAACCAAGUGUUUUUUCUCAGUUCUCUUCUGUCUGUAGACUUACAGGUCUGUGCCUGAAGCUUUUCUUAUGAAGUUCCUUGCUCGGUAACACCACAUUAAAUCUAGUGCAACUGUACAACACCGUUAUAACUGAAAUGAGAAUAUACCUUCUAGUGUCAUGCAAUAUUAUUAAGUUUUAUGACUUUAGGGUUCUUUUUCCCAUGAAAAAUCCCUUUCUAAAGGGAAUCAAUGCAAUGAUAUUAGUUCAAAAAAGCAUUUGCAAUGUGAAGCAGUAGUCUAGUGGACAAUAGUAGCUUCACUGAAAUUCAUACGCUGUGAGACGCUACAAUUGAUGUACUGGAUUCUGAAGGGC